AACUGGGGGCCGAGAUAAGGAAACUGAGGCAGCCUAGGGUGGUUAAGUGACUCACCUGAGAUGCCCCAUUGCUGGCUUUUCUACCUUUCUGAACACCUGACUCACUGCCCUGGAGACCCAAGAGUAGCCAUGGGCCCUGCCCAAGAUGCCACUGUCCCUGAGAUGGGGUGGCCAGGAAGACCGCCCUGAGGAGAAGGGCCCAGGAGGAGCAGGGGGAAGCCCUGAGGACUUGGGUGAAGAUUUCCUGGCACAAGUCCUGGGGAAAGGCCCCAGAGACCAGUUCCCCAUAACCAGGUGUAGAGGGUGGAUUCUCUGAAACGCCACAGGGCAGAGACCCUGGCAUGAUUCAACGUUCACUAAACAAAAUAUUUAUUGAGUGCCUGCCAAUGCUAGACACACACGCUGGCUGGCAUCCCUGCCUAUGCAAGAGUCAGAUGAGCUGCAUGCCCCUGCCACCCACUCCCCACUCCCUGCCAGCCUGGCCUCAGGGCCUCUGAUCCAUGUGCACUGGGGCGGUGAUGACUGACAGGGCCACUGGGGCAUUUCUGGGCUAACAGCAGCUGCCACUGGUGAAAGAAGUGACUCACCGAUGAUGGUGGCAUCUCAGAUGUGGGCCCAGGAGUCUGGGGAGCUACUCUUUUUUUUUUUUUUUUUUAAACAGUCUUGCUCUUCUCGCCUUGUUGCCCAGGCUGGAGUGCAA